GACGAACGCUGGCGGCGUGCUUAAUACAUGCAAGUCGAACGGAAAGGCCCUGCUUUUGUGGGGUGCUCGAGUGGCGAGCGGGUGUGUAACACGUGUGUAACCUGCCCUUGACUUUGGGAUAACUUCAGGAAACUGGGGCUAAUAUCGGGUAGGAGCUCCUGCUGCAUGGUGGGGGUUGGUAAGAUUCGGCGGUUGGGGAUGGACUCGCGGCUUAUCAGCUUGUUGGUGGGGUAGUGGCUUACCGAGGCUUGGACGGGUAGCCGGCCUGAGAGGGUGACCGGCCACAAUGGGACUGAGGUACGGCCCAGACUGCUACGGGAGGCAGCGGUGGAAAAUAUAGCACAAUGCGCGGAAGCAUGAUACAGCGACGCCGGGUGCGGAAAGACGGCCUUUGGGUUAGAAACCGCUUUCGCCUGGAACGAAGCGUGAGUGACGGUAAUGAGUAAGGAAGCACCGGCUAACUACGUG
rnacentral:rRNA from 1 species